rnacentral:lncRNA from 1 species
CCUUUUUCAUAGCUGCAUAAUAGAUUACUAAAUGAGUGCUUCGUAAUGUACCUACUUCCCACUUGCAUUUGUUUUUAACUUUUAGUUCAAAUGUGCUGUGUUGAAUACUUUGUUAGUACAGAUUUCUAGAAGCAGAAUUGCUAAGUCAAAAUGUGUCACCAUUUAUAUGCCUCUCAAUCCAUCUUUCCAGGUUGAUAUCCAGAGAUAAAGCAGUUGAGUCCUGCAAAAUAUAAGGGAGCCAGUGUCUCCACUCCUAGCAUAGGGGAUUGAAUACAUAUAUCUUCAGUGUGUGUUGUUUUGAUGCACUGGAUUGACUAUUAACUCCAUGAGAGUAUGGGCUGUGCCUGUUUACUCACCAUCCUAUCUCCUUACUCUAAUGUCAGAGGCCUCACCACCUCCAUCUGCAUCACCUUUGGGCUCCUGAUUGCAUUUAAGUUUGGGUCUCUAGAAUUCUUUUGUGCUCUCAGAAAAGCAUCUUAAAUUACAAAAAUAUCUCCUCCUUUUCUUCCCACUACAUUAAUAGGGAUAGCCAACCCAGUAUGUUUUACUUUUUAAUCUCUUAUCUCUAAACUGUGGGAUACAGGAAUUUGAACAACAACAAAAAAAAUACAAAUAUUUCAUUUGCAGCUUGAAAUGUGUUUCUUUGCUGAUAAGAUGUUGUCCAAUGUGAACUUUGAACGUCUUUAAGAAAUAAAGGAUUUUUACUAGAUAAAAUAAAUAUCCCUGGAGGUAUGUUGUGAUUUAACUUCUGACAUGUUAUAAUGGAAAAAAUGACCAAAAAUAAUAAGGAAAUUAGUUGGGACUGUCAGUAAAUAUUUCUUAACUUGUAAUGGUGUACUAUAUGUCCCAAAAUUCUUUGCUAUUCUUCUCUUUGGUGAAGACUUAGCUCCCUUCCCCUGGAGUAUGGGACUUACUUAGUGAUUGCCUUCCAGCAAAUAAAAUAUGGUAGAAGUGAUGGAGAAUAAUUAUCAAAUGUAGAUCACAAAGUGACAUUGUAACUUACAUCUUGUUCUCACUCUCUCUGAGGAAAGACAUGCCGUGAAGACAUUUAUGCAACUCUAUGCAAAGGCCCUAUAUUUAGGAUCAGAGGCCUCUCUGUAGUAGCCAUCAAGUCCCUGAGGCCUCUCUGUGUGAAGGUGCCUUCUUAUAAAUCUGUCAAAGAGAUCCUCUAGCCCCAGUGAGACUAUUAGCCUCAAGUAGUACCUUAACUGCAACCUCAUGAAAAAUCUUACACCAGAAACACACAGUUUGGCCACUCCCAACUCCCCGAUUAUAGCUACUCUAUUGUAAUAAGUGUUUAUUGUUUCUAAGUCACUAAGUUCUCUAUUAGAUUACUAAUAGAGAACUCAUGAAGAAUGUUCCCAGAUGAUGAUAUGUUGAAGAUGGUAAUGCUAAUAAUAUCUGACAUUUUUAAAGUUGUCUGUGUUAUAAUGUCCUUUAUAUCUUCUAAAAACCUUUGAUAGCUUUGAGCUAUUUGGGCAUUGGCAGUCCAGUAUUUUUUUUUUUUUUGACAGUCCAGUAUUUGGCCCUGUUCCUUGUGUAUACAAAAUCCACCUUCUUUAGGAGUUAGAGCCUAUUUUUUCCUGGAGAAGCUGUAAAACAACAUCAUUGCUUACUGUUCAGUACUCCAUUAAACUUAAGACAUGGAUCCAUGUUUUUAGGUUCUUUCAACCAGAGUCACAGCCUCAGACAAAAUGUAUACUUAUGAGGGAGGUGGCAGCACCUGGCUGUAGAUUCCAGAGUCAGUAUAUAGUGUUUCUAGUAGUUGCCGCUAGACCGACAAGGACCACUAGCUGAGUAUCAGUGGUACAGGCUUCAGUUUCAGUAUCUACACCCAGCUCAUGGCAGCGAUGUUUCCAUGGGGCCAUUUUUGUGGUAUAAUUUUGGAAUUUUUCAUGACCACAUAAACAUCCAAAUUUACAUUUCCAUCUCCUAAGAGAGAUUGAUAUUCUUUUAUAAAAUCCUUUCUGUUCAGAUUAUCAAGUGUUGCUUUCUCUUAUACACAAGUAAAAACCCUGAUAUAGGUAGUAUCCUCGUUUUUACAGAUGAGAAAAUUUAGAAUCAAAGUUGUUAAAUGAUGUGUCACUAGAUACAAGUAGCAAGUGAUACAGUUAUAGAUUAAUUAGUAUGGAUUGAGCUAAACUGGCUGCAGUGGUGUACCCUUCUAAUCCCAGAAACUGGGGAGGGUGAGGCAGGAGAUUUUAAGUUUGAGGCUGGUCUCAGCAUCUUGGCAAGACCUUAAGAAGCUUAGUGAGACUUUGUCUCAAAAAUAAAAAGGAAUGAGGAUGUAGCUAGACAGAUCAGUGGUAAAGUGUCCCUGGGUUCAAUCCCAGGUACCAACCCAUACCCCAAAACAAAUCAGAUUGAUCUAAACAAACUAACAUUCAAAUUUAGAAUUUAAAACACAAAGAUUUUAAUUAAUAUUUUUAAAAAAGAAUUAUUUUUCUUUAAACCAGAUAAAAUUCUAGUUCUCUUCCCUAAUUCAUAUAUUAAGCACAAACAUGAUGACAUUGAGUCCCUAUUGUUUCAGAAAUUGAUCAUCUUUUCCUAAGCUUUCUUGAUUUUGCAUAGACACUGGUUCCUAGAAAUGCUCUUUUCUUCUCUGUCUCCCACUCACUUUUGUCAAUUUUCCUUGUCUUCAAAACCCAGGUUUUGCGACUUCUUUUGGGUCUUGGAGAGAGGGUAAUUAUUCUCACCCAUCCUGAAAUCUCUCCGAAUUUCUAUCUAUGAUAAAAUGAUUGUUAAGCUUAUUUGUCUGUCAACCCACCCAUCCCAAAGAAAGGAGUAGACUCCAGACCUUGCCCUUAUGAUAGAGGAGUUUAGGAUGAUGUUUACUUAUUGAACAGGGACCCCAGAGCUGUCUGCUUUAAGAAUGUUGACUACUAAGUGUAUAACUCCCAUUUAGGAUAUACAGAUAUUGUUUCAAAAGAAGAUUAAAUGAAUCCUGAACAAGGCCUCAAGAAUAUUCCAUUUGCUAGUUUCUUGAAUAGAUGGUGAGUACUCCUCUGAUUGCAAAAGUCACUAAUUGCCAAGUCCAGCCCUUACACAGAGUACCCACUUAAAUUUUACUACCUUACGUUUACAUUUUAAUGCAAACAAAGGAUCUCCAGAAUUAUGUAGAAAACUUCCAAAGUUAAAGAGAUUAAAAUGUAUCCAUUAGAAAAGGGAUAGGGAAAACACAGACAAUUCAGGCAGCAGAAGAAAAUUUCAAAUAAGAAAAUGAUAUUCUCAGAAAAAUUGAACCCAUAAAAGCAAGAGUCAGAUUAAAAUUAAAAUGAUGCUAAAAUGUAUUCAUUUUUAUUGCCCUACAUGUGAAACAUAAAACUUCAAAUCAUUUAGAAGAAAACGGUAAAAUAUUUGUUACUUUGGGUUAGAUAAAAAGCAUGAUCCAUAGAAGAAAAAAUUGAAAAUUUGACUUCCUUAAAGUUAAGGUCUUCUGAAUAUCACUGUGAAGAGAAAGAAAAGCCGCAAAUUCAAAAAAAAUAUUUGUCAACUACAUAUCUGAUAAAUAACUUGUAUGCAACUAUUUAAAAGAAAUAUCCAAACUCAGUUACAAGUAAAGUAACAAUUGAAUUUUUAAAAUGCCAAAAGAUUUGGCUGAUUCACCAAAGAUCAUAUUACAGAUAAAAAUGAGCUUAAGAAACAAUGCUCAAACAAACUAGUUAUCUCUAUAUUAGAAUGCUACUCAAGAAUAAAAAGGAACCAAUUAUUAGUCUAUGCAAAAACUUGGUUGAAUCAUGAAGAAAAAGUCAGGUUCAAAAGGUAACAAACAAUCUGAUUCCAUUUAUGUGCCCUUCUUGAAAAAUAAAAUUAAAAACAUAAAACAGAUUAGUGAUUGUCAGGGGGAUAGGAUACUUUGGGGGGACAGUGGAACUAUUCUAUGUCUUGAGUAUAUUUGUGGUUAUGCCUUGAAUCUAUU